GGCGGCAUAGCCAAGUGGUAAGGCCGAGGACUGCAAAUCCUUUAUCCCCAGUUCGAAUCUGGGUGCCGCCU
rnacentral:tRNA from 2 species